rnacentral:rRNA from 1 species
GUGAGGAAUAUUGGUCAAUGGGCGGGAGCCUGAACCAGCCAAGUCGCGUGAAGGAAGAAGGAUCUAUGGUUCGUAAACUUCUUUUGCAGGGGAAUAAAGUGCAGGACGUGUCCUGUUUUGUAUGUACCCUGAGAAUAAGGAUCGGCUAACUCCGUGCCAGCAGCCGCGGUAAUACGGAGGAUCCGAGCGUUAUCCGGAUUUAUUGGGUUUAAAGGGUGCGUAGGUGGUUUGAUAAGUCAGCGGUGAAAGUUUGCAGCUUAACUGUAAAAAUGCCGUUGAAACUGUCGGACUUGAGUGUAAAUGAGGUAGGCGGAAUGCGUAGUGUAGCGGUGAAAUGCAUAGAUAUCACGCAGAACUCCGAUUGCGAAGGCAGCUUACUAAGCUACAACUGACACUGAAGCACGAAAGCGUGGGGAUCAAACAGGAUUAGAAACCCGGGUAGUCC